rnacentral:rRNA from 1 species
AGAGCGAACGCUGGCGGCAGGCCUAACACAUGCAAGUCGAGCGCCCGUAGCAAUACGGGAGCGGCAGACGGGAUAGUAACACGUGGGAACGCGCCCUUCGGUUCGGAAUAACUCAGGGAAACUUGAGCUAAUACCGGAUACGCCCUUACGGGGAAAGAUUUAUUGCCGAAGGAACGGCCCGCGUCCGAUUAGCUAGUUGGUGAGGUAAUGGCUCACCAAGGCGACGAUCGGUAGCUGGUCUGAGAGGAUGACCAGCAUCACUGGGACUGAGACACGGCCCAGACUCCUACGGGAGGCAGCAGUGGGGAAUAUGGACAAUGGGCGCAAGCCUGAUCCAGCCAUGCCGCGUGGAUGAUGAAGGCCUUAGGGUUGUAAAGUCCGUUUAACGGGAAGAUAAUGACGGUACCCGUAGAAUAGCCCGGCUAACUUCGCGCCAGCAGCCGC